rnacentral:rRNA from 1 species
GAUGAACGCUGGCGGCGUGCCUAAUACAUGCAAGUCGAGCGAACAGACGAGGAGCUUGCUCCUCUGACGUUAGCGGCGGACGGGUGAGUAACACGUGGAUAACCUACCUAUAAGACUGGGAUAACUUCGGGAAACCGGAGCUAAUACCGGAUAAUAUAUUGAACCGCAUGGUUCAUUAGUGAAAGACGGUUUUGCUGUCACUUAUAGAUGGAUCCGCGCCGCAUUAGCUAGUUGGUAAGGUAACGGCUUACCAAGGCGACGAUGCGUAGCCGACCUGAGAGGGUGAUCAGCCACACUGGAACUGAGACACGGUCCAGACUCCUACGGGAGGCAGCAGUAGGGAAUCUUCCGCAAUGGGCGAAAGCCUGACGGAGCAACGCCGCGUGAGUGAUGAAGGUCUUCGGAUCGUAAAACUCUGUUAUUAGGGAAGAACAAAUGUGUAAGUAACUAUGCACGUCUUGACGGUACCUAAUCAGAAAGCCACGGCUAACUACGUG